UUUGGUUGGAGAGGGUCCCAUUUCCAGUCAUUCUUCAGCCUGGUGAUUCCCGCGCUCCCCUGAGGAGCAUAUGAAGUACGUCGGUUCUGCCAGGUUGGAACGCGCUGCUGGACACUCGGCCGUAAGGCGGAUCCCGGAUCCCCUCCCACUCCGACCCUUCCCUCCAGAAGGGCCGGUUCCCAAACGGCCCCUUUAGACACAUCCAAGCGGUUGCCGACGGCCCUCACGAUGAAAACUGCUGUCCGUUGGUGAAGGCAGCCUCUUCUGUGCUCCUCGCCGCUGACUUCCUGAGGCAGGAGGAUCCUUUGAGUCCAGCAGUUUGAGGCCAGCCUGGACACCACAGCAAGACCACCAAUAAAUAAAUAAAUAAAUGGAA
rnacentral:lncRNA from 10 species